CCGCCUGCCCUGUGACAAAAAGUUUAACGGCCGCGGUAUCUUGACCGUGCGAAGGUAGCGCAAUCACUUGUUUCUUAAAUGGAGACCUGUAUGAAUGGCAUGACGAGGGCCAACCUGUCUCCUUCUCCUAGUCAAUGAAAUUGAUCUCCCCGUGCAGAAGCGGGGAUAAGAACAUAAGACGAGAAGACCCUUUGGAGCUUUAGACUACAAGCAGACCAUGCUAAUUAGACCCAGUUAAAGGAACUAAGCCAAUUGGAUAUCUGCCCUAAUGUCUUCGGUUGGGGCGACCACGGGGAAACAAAGAACCCCCAUGAGGAGCAGGAGAACUUUUCUCCCAGAACUGAGACCGACAGGUCUAAGUACCAGAAAUUCUGACCAAAAGAUCCGGCCAAGCCGAUCAACGGACCAAGUUACCCUAGGGAUAACAGCGCAAUCCCCUUUUAGAGCCCAUAUCGACAAGGGGGUUUACGACCUCGAUGUUGGAUCAGGACAUCCUAAUGGUGCAGCCGCUAUUAAGGGUUCGUUUGUUCAACGAUUAAAGUCCUACGUGAUCUGAGUUCAAGACCGGGA
rnacentral:rRNA from 1 species